rnacentral:rRNA from 3 species
GGCAGGUUGAAGGUUGGGUAACACUAACUGGAGGACCGAACCGACUAAUGUUGAAAAAUUAGCGGAUGACCUGUGGCUGGGGGUGAAAGGCCAAUCAAACCGGGAGAUAGCUGGUUCUCCCCGAAAGCUAUUUAGGUAGCGCCUCGUGAAUUCAUCUCCGGGGGUAGAGCACUGUUUCGGCUAGGGGGCCAUCCCGGCUUACCAACCCGAUGCAAACUGCGAAUACCGGAGAAUGUUAUCACGGGAGACACACGGCGGGUGCUAACGUCCGUCGUGAAGAGGGAAACAACCCAGACCGCCAGCUAAGGUCCCAAAGUCAUGGUUAAGUGGGAAACGAUGUGGGAAGGCCCAGACAGCCAGGAUGUUGGCUUAGAAGCAGCCAUCAUUUAAAGAAAGCGUAAUAGCUCACUGGUCGAGUCGGCCUGCGCGGAAGAUGUAACGGGGCUAAACCAUGCACCGAAGCUGCGGCAGCGACACUGUGUGUUGUUGGGUAGGGGAGCGUUCUGUAAGCCUGUGAAGGUGUGUCGUGAGGCAUGCUGGAGGUAUCAGAAGUGCGAAUGCUGACAUAAGUAACGAUAAAGCGGGUGAAAAGCCCGCUCGCCGGAAGACCAAGGGUUCCUGUCCAACGUUAAUCGGGGCAGGGUGAGUCGACCCCUAAGGCGAGGCCGAAAGGCGUAGUCGAUGGGAAACGGGUUAAUAUUCCCGUACUUGGUGUUACUGCGAAGGGGGGACGGAGAAGGCUAUGUUGGCCGGGCGACGGUUGUCCCGGUUUAAGCGUGUAGGUGUGUGUUCCAGGUAAAUCCGGUUCACUUUAACACUGAGGCGUGACGACGAGGCACUACGGUGCUGAAGCAACAAAUGCCCUGCUUCCAGGAAAAGCCUCUAAGCAUCAGGUAACAUCAAAUCGUACCCCAAACCGACACAGGUGGUCAGGUAGAGAAUACCAAGGCGCUUGAGAGAACUCGGGUGAAGGAACUAGGCAAAAUGGUGCCGUAACUUCGGGAGAAGGCACGCUGACACGUAGGUGAAGUGAUUUACUCAUGGAGCUGAAGUCAGUCGAAGAUACCAGCUGGCUGCAACUGUUUAUUAAAAACACAGCACUGUGCAAACACGAAAGUGGACGUAUACGGUGUGACGCCUGCCCGGUGCCGGAAGGUUAAUUGAUGGGGUCAGCGCAAGCGAAGCUCCUGAUCGAAGCCCCGGUAAACGGCGGCCGUAACUAUAACGGUCCUAAGGUAGCGAAAUUCCUUGUCGGGUAAGUUCCGACCUGCACGAAUGGCGUAAUGAUGGCCAGGCUGUCUCCACCCGAGACUCAGUGAAAUUGAACUCGCUGUGAAGAUGCAGUGUACCCGCGGCAAGACGGAAAGACCCCGUGAACCUUUACUAUAGCUUGACACUGAACAUUGAGCCUUGAUGUGUAGGAUAGGUGGGAGGCUUUGAAGUGUGGACGCCAGUCUGCAUGGAGCCGACCUUGAAAUACCACCCUUUAAUGUUUGAUGUUCUAACGUGGACCCGUUACCCGGGUUGCGGACAGUGUCUGGUGGGUAGUUUGACUGGGGCGGUCUCCUCCUAAAGAGUAACGGAGGAGCACGAAGGUUGGCUAAUCCUGGUCGGACAUCAGGAGGUUAGUGCAAUGGCAUAAGCCAGCUUGACUGCGAGCGUGACGGCGCGAGCAGGUGCGAAAGCAGGUCAUAGUGAUCCGGUGGUUCUGAAUGGAAGGGCCAUCGCUCAACGGAUAAAAGGUACUCCGGGGAUAACAGGCUGAUACCGCCCAAGAGUUCAUAUCGACGGCGGUGUUUGGCACCUCGAUGUCGGCUCAUCACAUCCUGGGGCUGAAGUAGGUCCCAAGGGUAUGGCUGUUCGCCAUUUAAAGUGGUACGCGAGCUGGGUUUAGAACGUCGUGAGACAGUUCGGUCCCUAUCUGCCGUGGGCGCUGGAGAACUGAGGGGGGCUGCUCCUAGUACGAGAGGACCGGAGUGGACGCAUCACUGGUGUUCGGGUUGUCAUGCCAAUGGCACUGCCCGGUAGCUAAAUGCGGAAGAGAUAAGUGCUGAAAGCAUCUAAGCACGAAACUUGCCCCGA